UGCGUGGCGAAAAGAGGAGUGGAAAGCGGUGAAGGUGGUGGCCCUAUAAGAAAGGACGAGCUUCUGGUUGCUGGCCCCUAUAAAAGUAGAGCGCGCGGCUUAGGAGAGGCUUAGGACUCCCGAGGUCGGAGGUCCCUGGAGCUGGCGCUAAGCUCGACGGCACGACCGGCCGUCCUCGCGGGCGGUGUCUGGAGGCCGAGGGUCCCUCCCUGCUACCGGCACAUGAACUUGCUGCUAAACCUUCUGGACGUUCUGCUGGUGAAGCUGAGGCUGCCCAAACCGCAGAGGCCGUCGGCGCUGCCGGUAGGGAGCUCGGGCUUAUUCGUAUUCUUACUAUGUAGUCGGCACCUCAUGUCUUUACCUUUUCUGUACGUUCCCUAUGGUACCCUCUCCAAUUUUAUGUCAUCUCUAGUCAUAGCGUUCUACUCCGACUUCGUAAUGUUCUUAAUACUCUUGGAGCGCUCCAGUGUAGUCCCCAAACUAUACCUCACGUUUGUUCACCUCUGUUUACUGUUCAAGAUACUAAAGACGAAGUUGUGUGCUGAACAGUUCGGUUGCUAUCACGUAAAAGUCCAUGUCAAUGGAAGGGUAAAAAUUCUAUAAACUACGAACGUAACUAUAUUCUUAGAAUUGUAGUUUCCACAAUUUGUUGUAUAAGUUAAGAAAUUUCUUAAGAUGUCUCAAAAACUAACAAUGGGUGAUAUCAAUCGAGUUAGAAGUUGUAAAAAUUUCCUUUUAAUACACGUGAGUUUGACGCACCAUACAAAAUGAAAAACUUGUUUUUUUUGACUCGUGUUGGACAAUUAUACCAACGGGUUUCAAUGAUGUAGUAUUACGUGACGUAACAAUGAGGAGUAUACAUCAUAUUCUUGAAAGUCAUAAGUGGAGUAACAAAUGGAAAUGAUCACGUUUCUAUAAAAUGACAAGGGAGAGGCAGGAAAGAAGAGAAUACAGAAACCGAGGUUUUUCUUUUCCUUCAUACUCCUUUCGAACACGGUUUUCGUAUAUUUAUUAUUGACCACUGACGGACUGCAUAAGUUCGAUAUAAUCGGAAAACGUAAAAUACAAGAAUGAGACAAAACAUCUACAACACUCUAAGAACUUCGAAACUGGCCAAAACUAAAACAAUCCACUUCGAAGAUUAGAAGUAAGUACAAAUAAGGUAACCAUAUCUGACGUUGAUAUCGCAUUGUCACUCACGUCCAGUACAGUAUUGAGUAUUCAACUCGGCCUAGACCAUUGACUUCGACAUCAAAGUAAAGACGUUAAUCACCCGAACAUAUAAUCCUAUCUUGACGUUAUGUUGCCUGAGUUGUCCCAAGAAUUCGUCCACCAACUCGUAGGAGUGAGGAGUCACCGGCCGAGACAGUAUACUGUAGAAGCCUUAUACUAUACUAUCCAAUAAAAUCGUUCCAAGCCAGUCUAAUAAGUAUAAGGGUAAAGAAAAACCGUCCAACUUGUAAUCUCUCUACGAUUGUUUUAAAAUACGUCCUGAAGAAUACCAUAAUUGAAACUGGAUGAUUUUCAGGAACUUACGAUGAGGGAGGCAGGAUUUUAUUCACAGAGUUGAAACAUGAUUGAAAUCAUGUUUCAACAUGAUUUCAACUCUGUGAAUAAAACCUGCCUCCCUCGCCUCCCUCAUGUAGAAAACGUAAUAACCGGCUCACUUAACACACACGUACAGAACGUAAGAGCCUAUGUAAGACGACAGCUAAUAACAUGAUAAACUGUAAAACUGCAGUAAAAUAAAGGUACUCGAGCAUCAAUACCCAGGCCAAGGAUUUUCCGGAAUAGACGGAUAGGAGAAAAUUUAACGAUAUUUAUCACACACCGGCGUGGGCGUGGUUACAUGUUUUUCAGACGUAAUCGGGAACUUGAAGACAUUCCUCAACUUUUAACCCAGUGAUUGAGUGGUAUUUGACAACGUAACCUAAUAGAAGUCAACCAAAGUCCAUUCUAUUGGUUUACGAAGAAGUCGACAUAAAAUGAUUGCUACCAACCGCAAAAUCUGUAUCCAUAAGGAAAUCCAUGUAGAACUUUAUGAGGAUCCAGGAUUGGUAUUACCAUCUCAAUGUCAGACAUCAACUCAACCAGUUUACCCUCACUACGGAUCUUUACACGUACUCACACAUCCUUCAAUAGCCGGGAAACCAAACACGUCAAAGUCUGUGUUGAGUCUAACGGUUAGCCAAAAGGUCGUUUAAGAAUACCUAUGCCAUUACACGAGAGUAGACGACAAAACGAUCCGGAAAAAAUAAGAGAAAGAAUUACGUCAAUAAACAUUCUAUUAAAGUCAUUACAACAUUCUGGUAUCUCUUGUAAUACAAAGUGAUAGUGAUUCGUAUAGCAGUUCUAGUUUAACAGUCACAAACCAACGAUGUUAGUUGAUGCAAAAAAAGGUAAACCUAUUUUGUCGUGGACGUUUCGUAACAAGUGUAAAAGAUGAGGCUUCCGUGACUAGUAAGGAUAAGAACCAUAGAAGUCGAUUCCUUAGAACACACCCGGUGUAGGUUCGUACUACAAAUGUACCGUGUCUUGUUAAGUCACUACGUGACCAGAAGAGAAGAAGUUUCUCCCUGUCUUCACGAGGUGCAACGUCCGGUUCAACAAGGUUUCGUCUUCUGCGUACCUCGAGCCUGUGACAGGUCUCACGUCUAGUCGUGUUACCGGGAUUUUCUGUUAGAGUACCAUCGCCCACCAAAGGCACCACUUGACUAAAAGUUCAUACAACUGUUCGGGCCCCACCGUAAGACAUGCUUACGGCGACUAUUAUUUUUGAGGCAGUGCUUACGACAUCUACACAUGCUCAGAGGAUCGCCGCGAUGAGCUCACUGCCGCCGGUUGUUACUGACGUGACAGUUUAAAGAACUACGGCUCUCCACGUCGGACGAAUCAGCGAAAUGAAAGGGCACCAGCCAGUUAUUGUGUAGCCACUCAGGACUACCGUUCGAGGAGCGCCAGGAGCCGCUGUCGAGGCUGACGCACUAGUGGCUGCGAGUUAGCCCGCUUCUCUAUCGCUGAGAGUUUCCCGUGGACCUGAUGAGCAAGAGUAGCCGGACCGUGGGGCCGCCCGUGCAGGACCGCUGCCCCUUGGUCCUGUUCUGCACGGCCGACACCCUGUGCGCGUUGGACAGCCGCGGCAAGCGCCACGACCCUCCCUCCUAGCCACGCCAGGCCCCGGAGGCCAAGAGCAGCCUGCCCGCCAAGGACCGCCGCCGCCUCCGCCGCCUGAAGCAGGUGCACAUGCUGCGCGCCCGGCCGAUGCCGCGGCGCGUCCUCUAGCCCGACAAGCCCCUCUAGCGCCCGCACCGCAAGUCGGGCCUGCGCCUGCGCGACAAGCAGCCCCAGCGCCUGGCCCGGAUGCCGUCGGACGAGCUCAAGCCGGCCGCCCCGGCCGUGCGGAUGGACCUGAGCAUGGACACUGACUCACCUUGUCAGUACAGCCGGCGCGCAGCUCAUCUACGGAUCUACACACAUAUCACGAGGUAUACCGUUCACCACCAAAGACAAAUAUACGCCUCACCAUGUUCACUUUUCUACGAUGCCACGUUGACCCAUGUCUACCAUGUACUAGACCUGACUGGGACUAAGUCUUCAGUCGUCCAUGAUGUCUUAAACCAAGCGCACUCUUCUCAAUUCAGAAAACUACUGACGCCGCGA
rnacentral:rRNA from 1 species